GAUGAACGCUAGCGGCAGGCCUAAUACAUGCAAGUCGAGGGGCAGCACAGGUAGCAAUACUGGGUGGCGACCGGCAAACGGGUGCGGAACACGUACGCAACCUUCCUUCAAGCGGGGAAUAGCCCAGAGAAAUUUGGAUUAAUACCCCAUAAGAAUGUGGUCUCGCAUGAGACAGCAUUUAAAGAUUUAUCACUUGAAGAUGGGCGUGCGUCUGAUUAGGUAGUUGGUGAGGUAACGGCUCACCAAGCCGACGAUCAGUAACUGGCGUGAGAGCGCGACCAGUCACACGGGCACUGAGACACGGGCCCGACUCCUACGGGAGGCAGCAGUAAGGAAUAUUGGUCAAUGGACGCAAGUCUGAACCAGCCAUGCCGCGUGGAGGAUGAAUGCCCUCUGGGUUGUAAACUCCUUUUAUCUGGGACGAAACACUUCUUUUCUAAGGAGCUUGACGGUACCAGAGGAAUAAGCACCGGCUAACUCCGUGCCAGCCGCCGCAGUAACAC
rnacentral:rRNA from 1 species